AAAGUUUUAAGUUAAGUAAACUAAAGUCCUUCAAAGUCUUAAUUAUUAGUACAAACCUAUUAAACUUUA
rnacentral:tRNA from 1 species